UACGGAGGAUGCAAGCGUUAUCCGGAAUGAUUGGGCGUAAAGGGUCCGCAGGUGGCAAUGUAAGUCUGCUGUCAAAGAAUGAGGCUUAACCUCAUCAAGGCAGUGGAAACUACAUAGCUAGAGUACGGUCGGGGUAGAAGGAAUUCCUGGUGUGAGCGGUGAAAUGCGUAGAGAUCAGGAAGAACACCGGUGGCGAAAGCGUUCUGCUAGACCUGUACUGACACUGAGGGACGAAAGCUAGGGGAGCGAAUGGG
rnacentral:rRNA from 1 species